rnacentral:rRNA from 1 species
UCGAGGAUCUUCGGCAAUGGGCGCAAGCCUGACCGAGCGACGCCGCGUGCGCGAUGAAGGCCUUCGGGUUGUAAAGCGCUGUCGAGGGAGAGGAAGCCGAAAGGUUGACCGACCCCUGGAGGAAGCACGGGCUAAGUUCGUGCCAGCAGCCGCGGUAAGACGAACCGUGCGAACGUUAUUCGGAUUCACUGGGCUUAAAGGGCGCGUAGGCGGACGAGCAAGUCCGGGGUGAAAUCUUUCGGCUUAACCGGAAAAGUGCCUGGGAAACUGCUCGUCUUGAGGGAGGUAGGGGCCUGUGGAACUUCCGGUGGAGCGGUGAAAUGCGUUGAUAUCGGAAGGAACGCCGGUGGCGAAAGCGACGGGCUGGCCCUCCACUGACGCUGAGGCGCGAAAGCCAGGGGAGCGAACGG